AAUAAGUGCAGUUUUACAUUAUUCACGUUUAACGUUUGACCGUUCGUCUUAUUUGAAAUUUUUUUAUGAUUAAUAUUUUUAUUGUUAUUAGAUGAUAAAACAUGAAUAGUACUUUAUGUGUGUAUUAAUAUUUUCAAAUUUUUCAAAUAAGACGAACGGUUAAACGUUGGGCACGGAUAUCCACAGCUGCACUUAUU
rnacentral:pre_miRNA from 1 species